UGGGGAAUAUUGCACAAUGGGCGCAAGCCUGAUGCAGCCAUGCCGCGUGUGUGAAGAAGGCCUUCGGGUUGUAAUGCACUUUCAGCGGGGAGGAAGGCGUUAAGGUUAAUAACCUUGGCGAUUGACGUUACCCGCAGAAGAAGCACCGGCUAACUCCGUGCCAGCAGCCGCGGUAAUACGGAGGGUGCAAGCGUUAAUCGGAAUUACUGGGCGUAAAGCGCACGCAGGCGGUCUGUCAAGUCGGAUGUGAAAUCCCCGGGCUCAACCUGGGAACUGCAUUCGAAACUGGCAGGCUAGAGUCUUGUAGAGGGGGGUAGAAUUCCAGGUGUAGCGGUGAAAUGCGUAGAGAUCUGGAGGAAUACCGGUGGCGAAGGCGGCCCCCUGGACAAAGACUGACGCUCAGGUGCGAAAGCGUGGGGAGCAAACAGG
rnacentral:rRNA from 1 species